rnacentral:rRNA from 1 species
UACGAAGGGGGCUAGCGUUGCUCGGAAUCACUGGGCGUAAAGGGCGCGUAGGCGGGUUUUUAAGUCAGGGGUGAAAUCCUGGAGCUCAACUCCAGAACUGCCUUUGAUACUGAGGAUCUUGAGUUCGGGAGAGGUGAGUGGAACUGCGAGUGUAGAGGUGAAAUUCGUAGAUAUUCGCAAGAACACCAGUGGCGAAGGCGGCUCACUGGCCCGAUACUGACGCUGAGGCACGAAAGCGUGGGGAGCAAACAGG